GCCACAUGAUGUUUGCAUUCGGAGACACGAGCGCUCUGCGCGUUGAUGACCCGAAUCUAUCACCCUGGACUGAUGGCU
ensembl:snoRNA SNORD83 Small nucleolar RNA SNORD83